GUGGGGAAUAUUGGACAAUGGGGGGAACCCUGAUCCAGCCAUGCCGCGUGUGUGAAGAAGGCCUUUUGGUUGUAAAGCACUUUAAGCGAGGAGGAGGCUACCGAGAUUAAUACUCUUGGAUAGUGGACGUUACUCGCAGAAUAAGCACCGGCUAACUCUGUGCCAGCAGCCGCGGUAAUACAGAGGGUGCAAGCGUUAAUCGGAUUUACUGGGCGUAAAGCGCGCGUAGGUGGCCAAUUAAGUCAAAUGUGAAAUCCCCGAGCUUAACUUGGGAAUUGCAUUCGAUACUGGUUGGCUAGAGUAUGGGAGAGGAUUGUAGAAUUCCAGGUGUAGCGGUGAAAUGCGUAGAGAUCUGGAGGAAUACCGAUGGCGAAGGCAGCCAUCUGGCCUAAUACUGACACUGAGGUGCGAAAGCAUGGGGAGCAAACAGGAUUAGAAACCCCAGUAGUCC
rnacentral:rRNA from 1 species